UGUUCUAUUAUAAUCUGUCCAUCUAUAUAAACUCUACUUUUACCUUCUCCGUUUAAUAUCUUCCCGCUUGCCAAGUUACAUAAAUUUUAAGGAAAAAAAGUGAUCCAAAAAUUUGAAUCCCAAAACCUUCUAAAUUAAACAGACCCAACGGUAGGCGUACCAGUUUUUACAUAUUGCAGCACCAUAUUUGAAUUUUUGUUAUCCCAAAUGGUAGAAAUUCAUGUUAAGCAGAGCGAUCAGCGGCAAUUCCUGUACGAAUGCCCUGCAACCCGAAGUGUGGAUAUCAUCAUCAGAGACAUUGUUAGCAUUCACAACCUCCAAUCCGCAAUACAAAAUCUUGUAGAUCACGGAGAGCAGCUCAUUCUAUACGGAACCGCAAAACCCCAAGAUACAGAGACUUCUGAUGCAGAUAAUUCUAAAUUAAGAGAUUCCUUGUAUAAUAACCCUUCUGGAAGGCGUACUGGAGAAGCAUGUGAUCCAACUGGUGCUGAGACCUUGAGGAGAACACUGACAGAAGCAGAUGCGUAUGUUUCUAAGAACCAGGUUCUGCACAAAAUCCCACUUGCAUUGAAUGCGUUAAAGGAUCAUAUUGAAAAUAUAAGAGCAGCAGUUAUGAUUUGUUAUCCUAUGGGUCUGCCAAGUUGUGAUCCAGUACAACAACUUCUGGAUGGCACCUUCGGAGGUGAGGAGCUAUUUGAUCUAGAGACAGCUCAACUAUGGUGGGCUGGUAAAGAGUUGAUGCGUGACAAGAAGUUGUCUGAUCGUGUUGGAAAGAAUGAGAAAACAAAGAUCAUUGCCAAGCUACAAGCAAGAGGUCAUGGUCCUCCUACCCGUGAACCACCAGUGGAUGCUGAAAUUUUGAAAGCAAUGAUGACUAGGCACAAAAAAGAAGAGGAGGCAUGAGAAUUUGCAAACAGAAUAAUUUUUUAUGGGUUUUGAUGUUAUUGCUUCAGAUAAGCUGGAAGAUGAGAAGGAUGAUUUGCACCCAAACCCCUCAUGGACAAACCCCAAAUCCAUGAAGGCUCAAUUUUAAGGCUUGUCUGAAACUAGAAUAGUGUAUGAAUUGGUUAAACAUCAUGAUUGAUCCUCCAUUUCAUUAUAAAUAUACAUUCGUACAAGUUGCAACUCUGACAUCUUAUAGCUACAGUUCAUGGAUAAAACUUCAAGAAGGUUUAAAAAUCCCACAUAUUUCUGAAAAUAGUAUAUUGUUUGAAUUAGUUAUACUUCAUGAUUGAUCCUCAACAUUUCUUUGGGGUGCUGGGACAAUUUUCACAUGGUUUUUUGUUGUUUCAAGACAUCCAUUUUUCUUUUACAUA